rnacentral:rRNA from 1 species
AUUGAACGCUGGCGGAAUGCUUUACACAUGCAAGUCGAACGGACUGAUGGAGCUUGCUUCAUCAGUUAGUGGCGAACGGGUGAGUAAUAUAUCGGAACGUAUCCAAUAAUGGGGAUAACUAAUCGAAAGGUUGGCUAAUACCGCAUACGCCCUGAGGGGGAAAGCUGGGGACCACAAGGCCUGGCGUUGAUGGAGCGGCCGAUAUCUGAUUAGCUAGUUGGUGGGGUAAAGGCCCACCAAGGCGACGAUCAGUAGCUGGUCUGAGAGGACGACCAGCCACACUGGAACUGAGACACGGUCCAGGCUCCUACGGGAGGCAGCAGUGGGGAAUUUUGGACAAUGGGGGCAACCCUGAUCCAGCCAUUCCGCGUGAGUGAAGAAGGCCUUCGGGUUGUAAAGCUCUUUCGCAAGGGAAGAAAACUUACAUUCUAAUAAAGUGUGAGGCUGACGGUACCUUGAUAAGAAGCACCGGCUAACUACGUGCCAGCCGCCGCAGUAAGAC